AACGAACGCUGGCGGCAGGCUUAACACAUGCAAGUCGAACGCGCCCUUCGGGGCGAGUGGCAGACGGGUGAGUAACGCGUGGGAACCUACCUCAUGGUACGGAAUAACUCAGGGAAACUUGAGCUAAUACCGUAUGUGUCCUUCGGGAGAAAGAUUUAUCGCCAUGGGAUGGGCCCGCGUCGGAUUAGCUAGUUGGUGGGGUAACGGCCUACCAAGGCGACGAUCCGUAGCUGGUCUGAGAGGAUGAUCAGCCACACUGGGACUGAGACACGGCCCAGACUCCUACGGGAGGCAGCAGUGGGGAAUAUUGGACAAUGGGGGCAACCCUGAUCCAGCCAUGCCGCGUGAGUGAUGAAGGCCUUAGGGUUGUAAAGCUCUUUCGCCGGUGAAGAUAAUGACGGUAACCGGAGAAGAAGCCCCGGCUAACUUCGUGCCAGCCGCCGCCGUAAGAC
rnacentral:rRNA from 1 species